rnacentral:rRNA from 1 species
AUCGAACGCUGGCGGCAGGCCUAACACAUGCAAGUCGAGCGAACCUAGCUUGCUAGGUGAGCGGCGAACGGGUGAGUAACACGUAGGAAUCUGCCCGAUAGUGGGGGACAACGUUUCGAAAGGGACGCUAAUACCGCAUACGCACUAAGGGGGAAAGCAGGGGAUCUUCGGACCUUGCGCUCUCGGAUGAGCCUGCGUCGGAUUAGCUAGUUGGCGGGGUAAAGGUCCACCAAGGCGAAGAUCCGUAGCUGGUCUGAGAGGAUGAUCAGCCACACCGGAACUGCGAGACGGUCCUGACGCCUACGGGAGGCAGCAGUCUGGAAGAUUGUGCAAUGGGUGCAACCCUUCUCCAUCCAUGCCGCGUGUGUGAAGAAGGCCUUCGGUUUGUAAAGCACUUUAAUCGGGGAUAAAAGUUCGCUGGCUAAUAUCCAGCGGAAUUGACGUUACCCGCAGAAUAAGCACCGGCUAACUCCGUGCCAGCCGCCGCCGUAA